rnacentral:pre_miRNA from 1 species
GACGUACUCCCUCCGUCCGGAAAUACUUGUCGAAGAAAUGCAUAAAAAUGGAUGUAUCUAGAACUAAAAUACGUCUAGAUACAUCCAUUCCUCCGACAAGUAUUUCCGGACGGAGGGAGUAUUAU